ACUUUAAUUGAAGAGUUUGAUCAUGGCUCAGAUUGAACGCUGGCGGCAGGCCUAACACAUGCAAGUCGAGCGGUAACAGAAAGAAAGCUUGCUUUCUUUGCUGACGAGCGGCGGACGGG
rnacentral:rRNA from 1 species